rnacentral:rRNA from 1 species
ACAGGUGGUGCAUGGUUGUCGUCAGCUCGUGUCGUGAGAUGUUGGGUUAAGUCCCGCAACGAGCGCAACCCCUGUGGUUAGUUGCCAUCAUUUAGUUGGGCACUCUAAGCAGACUGCCGUGGAUAACACGGAGGAAGGUGGGGAUGACGUCAAAUCAUCAUGCCCCUUAUGACCUGGGCUACACACGUGCUACAAUGGUCUGAACAGAGGGCUGCGAGACCGCAAGGUGAAGCCAAUCCCUUAAAACAGAUCUCAGUUCGGAUUGCAGGCUGAAACUCGCCUGCAUGAAGUUGGAGUUGCUAGUAAUCGCGGAUCAGAAUGCCGCGGUGAAUGCGUUCCCGGGUCUUGUACACACCGCCCGUCACACCACGAGAGUUGGCAACACCCGAAGUCAGUGAGACAACCGUAAGGAGUCAGCUGCCGAAGGUGGGGUCGGUAAUUGGGGUGAAGUCGUAACAAGGUAGCCGUAUCGGAAGGUGC